rnacentral:rRNA from 2 species
UACGGAGGGUGCGAGCGUUGUCCGGAAUCACUGGGCGUAAAGGGCGCGUAGGCGGCGCGGGCAGUCAACGGUGAAAGCUUGGGGCUCAACCCCGAGUCGGCCGUCGAUACUCCCGGGCUGGAGCACUGUAGAGGCAGGUGGAAUUCCGGGUGUAGCGGUGGAAUGCGUAGAGAUCCGGAAGAACACCGGUGGCGAAGGCGGCCUGCUGGGCAGUAGCUGACGCUGAUGCGCGACAGCGUGGGGAGCAAACAGG